rnacentral:tRNA from 1 species
GAUUAAGUAGUGCAGUAGUUAGCACGUCGUACUAUCAUCUCUUGGUAUUGAGCAUCGAGUUAUAGAUGUUCGAUACUAAGAGAGAUGCGGAGACCUGGGUUCGACUCCCAGCUUAACCA